rnacentral:misc_RNA from 1 species
UGCAGUUAGUCGAGAGCAAACGAACGAGCAGGGGGAGAAAAUGUACAUUCAAACUAGAAUGGCUCAGUAUGCUGAGGAGCUUUGGGAAUUAUUGAAGAAGGACAAUACCUUUGUUUACAUGUGUGGACUUAAGGGCAUGGAGAAGGGAAUUGAUGACAUUAUGGUCUCUUUGGCUGCUAGAGAUGGUAUUGAUUGGCUGGAAUACAAGAGGGAAUUGAAGAAAUCAGAGCAAUGGAAUGUGGAAGUUUAUUAAUUUUAUA